rnacentral:rRNA from 1 species
GAUGAACGCUGGCGGCGUGCCUAAUACAUGCCAGUCGAGCGAACAGAUGAGGAGCUUGCUCCUCUGACGUUAGCGGCGGACGGGUGAGUAACACGUGGAUAACCUACCUAUAAGACUGGGAUAACUUCGGGAAACCGGAGCUAAUACCGGAUAAUAUAUUGAACCGCAUGGUUCAAUAGUGAAAGACGGUUUUGCUGUCACUUAUAGAUGGAUCCGCGCCGCAUUAGCUAGUUGGUAAGGUAACGGCUUACCAAGGCAACGAUGCGUAGCCGACCUGAGAGGGUGAUCGGCCACACUGGAACUGAGACACGGUCCAGACUCCUACGGGUGGCAGCAGUAGCGAAUCUUCCGCAAUGGGCGAAAGCCUGACGGAGCAACGCCGCGUGAGUGAUGAAGGUCUUCGGAUCGUAAAACUCUGUUAUUAGGGAAGAACAAAUGUGUAAGUAACUAUGCACGUCUUGACGGUACCUAAUCAGAAAGCCACGGCUAACUACGUG